GAUGAAGAACGCAGCGAAAUGCGAAAAGUAAUGUGAAUUGCAGAAUUCAGUGAACCAUCGAAUCUUUGAACGCACAUUGCGCCCGCUGGAACUCCGGCGGGCACGCCUGUCCGAGCGUCAUUUCAACCCUCAGGCCCCCCUUCGCGGGCGGGCCUGGUGUUGGGGCCCGGCCGCUACCCUGCGGCCGUCCCCUAAAUCCAGUGGCGGCCUCGCCGUGAUCCCUUGCGUAGUAAUGCACCUCGCACCGGAGAGCGCCGUGGCCAAGCCGUAAAACCCCCAAUUUUCAAUGGUUGACCUCGGAUCAGGUGGGAAUACCCGCUGAACUUAAGCAUACAAUAAGCGGAGGA
rnacentral:misc_RNA from 1 species